rnacentral:rRNA from 1 species
GACGAACGCUGGCGGCGUGCUUAACACAUGCAAGUCGAACGGAAAGGCCCUGCUUUUGUGGGGUGCUCGAGUGGCGAACGGGUGAGUAACACGUGAGUAACCUGCCCUUGACUUUGGGAUAACUUCAGGAAACUGGGGCUAAUACCGGAUAGGAGCUCCUGCUGCAUGGUGGGGGUUGGAAAGUUUCGGCGGUUGGGGAUGGACUCGCGGCUUAUCAGCUUGUUGGUGGGGUAGUGGCUUACCAAGGCUUUGACGGGUAGCCGGCCUGAGAGGGUGACCGGCCACAUUGGGACUGAGAUACGGCCCAGACUGCUACGGGAGGCAGCAGUGGGGAAUAUUGCACAAUGGGCGGAAGCCUGAUGCAGCAGCGCCGCGUGCGGGAUGACGGCCUUCGGGUUGUAAACCGCUUUCGCCUGUGACGAAGCGGGAGUGACGGUAAUGGGUAAAGAAGCACCGGCUAACUACGUG